GAAAGCCGUAUUCGGGAAAAUCGAACGUACGGUUUGAUGAGGGGGAACUGGAGAUAGGGGUUGCUACGACGUCAGUUCCCUACUCUAC
rfam:Thermodesulfovibrio sp. RBG_19FT_COMBO_42_12 rbg_19ft_combo_scaffold_2294, whole genome shotgun sequence.